GCCAGCCCGCUCAGAAACUCAAGGAAUUGACGGGGGCCCGCACAAGCGGUGGAGCAUGUGGUUUAAUUCGAUGCAACGCGAAGAACCUUACCUGGUCUUGACAUCCCGGAGACCCUUAGGAAACUAGGGGGUGCUUCCAUCUGGAAGAAUCUGGAGACAGGUGCUGCAUGGCUGUCGUCAGCUCGUGUCGUGAGAUGUUGGGUUAAGUCCCGCAACGAGCGCAACCCUUGCCUUUAGUUGCCAGCAGUUCGGCUGGGCACUCUAAAGGGACUGCCGGUGUUAAACCGGAGGAAGGUGGGGAUGACGUCAAGUCCUCAUGGCCUUUAUGACCAGGGCUACACACGUACUACAAUGGCCGAUACAAAGGGCAGCGACACUGCGAGGUGAAGCCAAUCCCGUAAAAUCGGUCUCAGUCCGGAUUGGAGUCUGCAACUCGACUCCAUGAAGUUGGAAUCGCUAGUAAUCGUGGAUCAGCAUGCCACGGUGAAUACGUUCCCGGGCCUU
rnacentral:rRNA from 1 species